UAUUCGCUGAUGAAGUACUUCGGUAAUGAAUCUUGGAUAUCUUAGUGGCGGACGGGUGAGUAACGCGUGAGCAACCUGCCUUUCAGAGGGGGAUAACGUUUGGAAACGAACGCUAAUACCGCAUGACAUUAUCUUAUCGCAUGGUAGGAUAAUCAAAGGAGCAAUCCGCUGAAAGAUGGGCUCGCGUCCGAUUAGGUAGUUGGUGGGGUAACGGCCCACCAAGCCGACGAUCGGUAGCCGGACUGAGAGGUUGGACGGCCACAUUGGGACUGAGACACGGCCCAGACUCCUACGGGAGGCAGCAGUAAGGGAUAUUGGUCAAUGGGGGAAACCCUGAACCAGCAACGCCGCGUGAGGGAAGACGGUUUUCGGAUUGUAAACCUCUGUCCUCUGUGAAGAUGAUGACGGUAGCAGAGGAGGAAGCUCCGGCUAACUACGUGCCAGCAGCCGUGGUAAUACGUAGGGAGCGAGCGUUGUCCGGAUUUACUGGGUGUAAAGGGUGCGUAGGCGGCUUGGCAAGUCAGUAGUGAAAUCCAUGGGCUUAACCCAUGAACUGCUAUUGAAACUGUCGAGCUUGAGUGAAGUAGAGGUAGGCGGAAUUCCCGGUGUAGCGGUGAAAUGCGUAGAGAUCGGGAGGAACACCAGUGGCGAAGGCGGCCUACUGGGCUUUAACUGACGCUGAGGCACGAAAGCGUGGGUAGCAAACAGGAUUAGGUACCCUGGUAGUCCACGCUGUAAACGAUGAUUACUAGGUGUGGGUGGACUGACCCCAUCCGUGCCGGAGUUAACACAAUAAGUAAUCCACCUGGGGAGUACGGCCGCAAGGGCUGAAACUCAAGGAAUUGACGGGGGCCC
rnacentral:rRNA from 1 species